UCCUACGGGAGGCAGCAGUGGGGAAUAUUGGACAAUGGGCGAAAGCCUGAUCCAGCCAUGCCGCGUGUGUGAAGAAGGUCUUCGGAUUGUAAAGCACUUUAAGUUGGGAGGAAGGGCCAGUAAGUUAAUACCUUGCUGUUUGACGUACCGACAGAAUAGCCCGAUGUCGCGC
rnacentral:rRNA from 1 species